rnacentral:lncRNA from 1 species
AUGGGAAGUCGGGAAGCCUCCGGUCAGCAGGGGGAAGGCAGGUGGAGUUUCAGAGUCAAUUUAAAGAGCCCCAUGCUGGGCGUGCACUUGGGGCCCAGGGCUGCCUUCAGAGAGGACGCCGGCUUCCCGGGGGAAUUAGAGGCGUCCUCCCGCCCUCCCGCCUCGAGAGGCAGGAAUGCGAAGGAUCAGCUUUCAGCAAAGCUGCGGCUGCCUUUCCGGGGAGCUCCCGGUGCAGGCCCUUCCCGAGCGGCCGAAUUAACUGGUUCUGUCUGUCCAACUGGGAGAACAGCUCCAGCUAAAAAUAGCGCCCUGCCCUGCGCUGGUCGCCGGGAGCCGGGGCCGCGACCGUGGGAGUCCGGGCCGCGACAGUCCAAGGAGCCCGGGGAGUCCCGGACGCUCCACCCCGGGCCUGGCCCAGUCCCACCCCCGAGGCCGCGGCGGAGACCGCCGGCACAGCGCUGUCCCCACAGGUGCCGGGGAGGGUGGAAGGCCAGCGGGCGGAGGAGCGGCUGCGGCCGUCCGGGAUGGGAGCCGGCGGGGCGGCCUCCCGCGCGCUGGCCUGGGCCUCCCUGCCCCUGCUGGGGCCUCCGGCCGGCGCGCUCUGCGAGGACACGCUUUGCUGCCGAGGUAAGGCAGGGCCGGCUGCCGACGCGCCCCCGCUCUUCCCCGGCACUUGCUGGCGCCCCUUUCUCCUUCCCCACCCCAGGUCCGCGGCGGGGGGCGAGCGAAGGGAGAACCCAGGCGUCCGCGCCGGGCUCUGGGAGUGGAGCCAGGCGCUCUCUGCAAACUCACCUUUCGUUUGAAAAAAUCGCAAUCUCGCCACCACGACCGAGAAGCGUUCGCCUCCCUUUGGCCUCUCAGUCUUCCCAUCUGGAAAAUGGAACAAUAAAAUCGUCAAGCUUUAAUAUUUGUUGUGACCCCAAGAGAAGUUGGGGAACCCGCUGCAGCCGAUCGCAAGCGUCCUGGAGAAGUUUCCCCGAAUCCAGAUGGGGUUCUCGAGGGUUUAUGAUGGUGGGGGGGCCUGGAAGUGCCUUCCCCGUGGCCUUCCCUCACCCUGCCGUCCUGUUCCAGAGCUCAGCACCUAGCAUCAGCCCGCGGCCCCCGCCGUCGGAGAUCGAGGCAAGCUCGCCGCGAAAUUUAAUGGGCCGGAGGACGCGCGAAAAUCCUUGUGGGAGAAGAAGGUGUAGAGUAGAAGAGGGGUGA